GGGGGUUAGCGUUGUUCGGAAUUACUGGGCGUAAAGCGCGCGUAGGCGGGCUAGUAAGUUAGAGGUGAAAUCCCAGGGCUCAACCCUGGAACUGCCUUUAAUACUGGCAACCUAGAGUUCGAGAGAGGUGAGUGGAAUUCCGAGUGUAGAGGUGAAAUUCGUAGAUAUUCGGAGGAACACCAGUGGCGAAGGCGGCUCACUGGCUCGAUACUGACGCUGAGGUACGAAAGUGUGGGGAGCAAACAGGAUUAGAUACCCUGGUAGUCCACGCCGUAAACGAUCAUCACUCGCUGUUGGCGAUAUACUGUCAGCGGCCAAGCGAAAGUAUUAAGUGAUGCACCUGGGGAGUACGCCGGCAACGGUGAAACUCAAAGGAAUUGACGGGGGCCCGCACAAGCGGUGGAGCAUGUGGUUUAAUUCGAUGAUACGCGAGGAACCUUACCAGGGCUUAAAUGUAAGUUGCAUAGAUCAGAGAUGGUCUUUUCUUCGGACUACUUACAAGGUGCUGCAUGGUU
rnacentral:rRNA from 1 species